ACGUUCCCUAUUUUCUCCGGCUGAGCGCCGGCAGUGUUUGAGCUCAUCUUGUAUCGAAUUAACGCAUAGACUAGGGGCCCAUUAGUGGUCAGGGGCCCAAGUGAUUUUUGUUGGAAUUUUUUUUUUUAAAUUCACUGACCGGUGGGUCAGUGCCGGCCUUAGGCUGAUUGGACCUAUUGGGCCCAAUCAGGCCCCGCGCUCAGCUGCCCAGCCUGCCUCCAGCUUUGAUUGGCCCAGCCCACCCUCAGUCACAAGCUGAGCCCAAGCCUUCCCCCACAAUUGGCCCAGCCCACCUCCUACUCAGAUUGAUGGCCGGCUUGUGUGCAGUGCGCAGGAGCAGCACAGCGUGGGCCUGAACUUGCUCCUAGUAGCUUAAAUCUUUUGUCUAUGAUCAACAAUAAAUUACGAUCCAGUGGCCUUAAACCCCUGAAUCAGUUACACAGGUCCGGUAACAGUGCGCACUUUUCUCGAUAAAAGAAUGUGGGAGGAUUGGACUCCACCGAGCGCAUGAAGUCUACUGCUCUGGAGAAGCGCACAGUCUUACUGGAUGGCUGCUGUUAAGUUAACUGGGGGGAAGUGGGUUAAGGUCACAAGACAGAUCAUAAAUUCACUAUGCAUACUGGUUGCUGGAAAGGGGGGUUCUAAGGAUGCAAGACACAUGCCAUUGUUGUUGGCUAUGCUUGCUACAGUUUACAAUUAACUGUUUCAGGGUAUGGGGAGUAGAGACAGAAGACAACAGUAUUGUUCCCUAUUCUGCUGUUUAAAAUUAACUGUUACAGGGUAUUGAGGCAGGAUUAACUAUCCUAUUGUUGCUGACUCACUCUACUGUGAAACAUGAUGCUAUCAGGGCCAAGGCAGCUUUUGCAGUCAUCAUUUAGUGUACAGAACAAAUAGGAAGAGAUCAGGGCACAAAAAAAUGGGAGAGCUGUGUCAAAAUAUUCAAGAGGCAGUAGUCACAGUCUGAAGAGAAAGGGGAAAAUGGGCGAUACAAAGAAAAGAGGGGUGCUAGCUAAUGAACAGGAAGAGGUAGAGCAGUAUGUAAAGAGAAGUAACGAAAUAUUGGAAGAAAGAAAAAAGACAGAAAUAGAAGAAAGCAAGACACAGAUGUAUAAAAAAAGAAAAGGGAAAGAAAAGCAGAACAGGCAGCACAAAUAUAAGGGUUUGUAGUGUCUGAUUCAAAAUAAAGAGAACCGACUCAAUCAGAUCAACAGCUGUGUGGUGCCAUUACCCAGCAGGUCCAUUGGAUUAAGAAAGGACCGACUCCAUCUCUACUCUUCUCUCUUAACUCCUUUCCUCCAAGUAAAUAAUUUACUUGAUGUUAUU